rnacentral:lncRNA from 1 species
UUUUUUUUUUUUUUUUUGAGACAGUUUCGCUCUUGUUGCCCAGGCUAGAGUACAAUGGCACAAUCUCAGCUCACUGUAACCUCCACCUUCCGGGUUCAACUGACUCCUGCCUCAGCCUCUCAAGUAGCUGGGAUUACAGGCAUGUGUCACCAUGCCCAGCUAAUUUUUUGUAUUUUUAGUAGCAAUGGGGUUUCACCAUGUUGGUCAGGCUGGUCUCGAACUCCUGACCUCAGGUGAUCCACCUGCCUCAGCCUCACAAAGUGCUGGGAUUACAGGCAUGAGCCAUCAUGCCUGGCCCCAGACAGUUUUCUACAGUAGUGUGGAGAGGCUCUGCAGCAAUACAACUGUAUCACUCUAAAAGCUUGGUGCUGGCUGGAGGCCAACAGCCCCUCAGCAUCAUGGGCAGGCUGCCAGGCAACAAGGCCCCACCCCUGGAGCAGCGCAAAGCCCUGGCCCCGCUCACCUGGUGACCACAUUGGCAUCCUCCACAGCUGGGACUGAGAGUCAUAGGCCUGGUGCAGCAGGGGUGGCAGCAGCAUGCAAGAUUCCCAUUAACCAGGGUGCCCAAGCCAGGCAGCUGCUGCCAACCCCACAGCCAACACAGAGCCCCUCCUCUUGGCUCUACAGAGAUGGAGGAACUUCACUUCACAAGGAGCUCUGUACAAACUGGGUGAGGAGAGGAAAUGCACAAACAGAGGGGUCCUAAAAGCAUAAAUACUGACUAGCUCCCAGCACAUUCACUCAGUAAGCAUAACUGAGCUGGUGGCUGCAUCAGGCAAGCGGUCAGUGGCUGGGUGGGUGGGUGGGUGGGUGGAUGGAUGGAAGGAAGGAAGGAAGGAAGGAAGGAAGGAAGGAAGGAAGGAAGGAAGGGAUUAUGGAUGGUUGGCUAGAUGGAUAGACGGAUUAAUGGAAUGACAGAUGGAGUCAUGGUUUCCAGGUUAGCACAGCCCAUCAUACAAGACCUUCCUUUUCCUUCACCCCACCCAGAAAACCCCCUUUACCAGGUUUAUUUAUUCACCGAAGAUUACUGGAACUGCCAGAUCUGUUCCAUGGCCUCUGAAUUUUGAGCAAU